ACCCGCUGAACUUAAGCAUAUCAAUAAGCGGAGGAAAAGAAACCAACAGGGAUUGCCUCAGUAACGGCGAGUGAAGCGGCAACAGCUCAAAUUUGAAAUCUGGCACCCUCGGGGCCCGAGUUGUAAUUUGCAGAGGGUGCUUUGGCGUUGGCUGUGGUCUAAGUUCCUUGGAACAGGACGUCGCAGAGGGUGAGAAUCCCGUAUGUGGCCGCCAGCCUCCGCCGUGUAAAGCCCCUUCGACGAGUCGAGUUGUUUGGGAAUGCAGCUCUAAAUGGGAGGUAAAUUCCUUCUAAAGCUAAAUACUGGCCAGAGACCGAUAGCGCACAAGUAGAGUGAUCGAAAGAUGAAAAGCACUUUGGAAAGAGAGUCAAAAAGCACGUGAAAUUGUUGAAAGGGAAGCGCUUGCAGCCAGACUCGCUCGCGGUUGCUCAACCGGGCACCAGCCCGGUGCACUCUUCCGCGGGCGGGCCAGCAUCAGUUCGGGCGGGUGGAUAAAUACCUGCUAAAUGUACCUCUCUUCGGGGAGGACUUAUAGGGUAGGUGGCAUACACCCAGCCCGGACUGAGGUCCGCGCAUCUGCUAGGAUGCUGGCGUAAUGGCUGU
rnacentral:rRNA from 1 species